AGUGAACGCUGGCGGUAGGCCUAACACAUGCAAGUCGAACGGCAGCACAGUAAGAUCUUGCUCUUACGGGUGGCGAGUGGCGGACGGGUGAGGAAUACAUCGGAAUCUACUUUUUCGUGGGGGAUAACGUAGGGAAACUUACGCUACUACCGCAUACGACCUACGGGUGAAAGCAGAGGAUCUUCGGACCUUGCUCGCUUGUAUGAGCCGAUGUCGGAUUAGCUAGUUGGCGGGGUAAAGGCCCACCAAGGCGACGAUCCGUAGCUGGUCUGAGAGGAUGAUCAGCCACACUGGAACUGAGACACGGUCCAGACUCCUACGGGAGGCAGCAGUGGGGAAUAUUGGACAAUGGGCGCAAGCCUGAUCCAGCCAUACCGCGUGGGUGAAGAAGGCCUUCGGGUUGUAAAGCCCUUUUGUUGGGAAAGAAAAGCAGCAGGUUAAUACCCCGCUGUUCUGACGGUACCCAAAGAAUAAGCACCGGCUAACUUCGUG
rnacentral:rRNA from 1 species